AGAAGGAAGAGCGUUAGCUCAACAAGGCAGAAGAGCCUAGAGUGGGAAAAAUAAUAAAAAAAAUCCACCAAUCGUGUCCUUGAGCCUGGGAUCAACCCUCACCCCAGAGGACAUCAAAGAAGGAGACGACGUUUACUUCGAGUGUCACAUUAACGCAAAUCCGGCGAUAUCAAAACUCAUCUGGAUCCACAACGAGAGAGCAGAAAGGACCAAUCUUAAAAGCUCUGGAUCUUCAUCGUCAAUUUUCCGUAUGAAUUCAGUGGAGUGUGUGAUGUCAUUUGAUGUUCCGAGAAUUUCUGGAUUGAGGCGAGUGGGUGGGAGGGACUCUGAGGAAACAAUUUGCCAGUAGGAUAGAACGGAAAAAAUGGGUCAAGUUGGCGGAAUUUAUUAUGAUUGCUAAUUCAUCACGAUGAAAACGCUGGAGGAAAAAUCUCCGACUAAAUUUUAGGAGAGAGACUAAUAAACUAUAAACACAGACGUGAGGUAUUCUUAGAUAUUUUUCAAGAUAGAAAAGAAUAUUUUUACAUGUUUCCUUUUACUCUACCUUCUCUGCAUUUUUCUAACCAGAAAAACUGACAAUUCAACUAAUUAAGAAUGCAUUCUUAAUUAGUGCACGUGCAAUAAAAACAAAAAUUUAUGACCCUUCCUAUAAUUCGUUAUAUUUAUCGCAAUUAAUUUUCAAUUAAUUUACAAUGAAAUUUUUACCAUCGUCAUAAUUUAAAAAUCAUAUUUAAUUAUUUAUGUCUAAAAAUUGAGGCAUUAAAAGUGACUCAUUUUUAUCGGAUUGUCAUGCGUAUAUGUCCGUACAUAAACCGCUAUUUUGCUCGGAGGCAUUAGAAGAGAGAAACGAUCGUAAAAUAAAACGGGCGUAUCUCGAGAUACAUAAAAGAAAAGCUUUGAAAAUGAAGCGCAAAGAAAGCAUUGAGUAGAAUCGAGAUGGGUGAUUAAAUACCGCAUUCGUUUCCCAGAGAAUGUACAAUUGAGAAAAGCCGUAACGAGCCGUAUUGAUCAGACAAUCCAAUUAUCGGUAUUCUCUAAGUGUUAAAUGUCUUCAACUUCUUUUUAUUUUUAUUUAUUUUUUAUCAUUAAAAUUAUGGCUCUCCAAGACUGAUCAUCAAUCGCCGAUUUAAAAAUUUUACUAAUCCAUUUGUUAUUCUCAGUAAAUUAUCGUUGGGCAGAGGACAGCUUAUUUUUCAAUGGCAACUUAUGAUUUUUGAAGAUUUCAUUGUAUUUUUUACUUUCUGAAUUUUGAAUU